GAUGAACGCUGGCGGCGUGCCUAAUACAUGCAAGUCGAGCGAACGGACGAGAAGCUUGCUUCUCUGAUGUUAGCGGCGGACGGGUGAGUAACACGUGGAUAACCUACCUAUAAGACUGGGAUAACUUCGGGAAACCGGAGCUAAUACCGGAUAAUAUUUUGAACCGCAUGGUUCAAAAGUGAAAGACGGUCUUGCUGUCACUUAUAGAUGGAUCCGCGCUGCAUUAGCUAGUUGGUAAGGUAACGGCCUACCAAGGCAACGAUGCAUAGCCGACCUGAGAGGGUGAUCGGCCACACUGGAACUGAGACACGGUCCAGACUCCUACGGGAGGCAGCAGUAGGGAAUCUUCCGCAAUGGGCGAAAGCCUGACGGAGCAACGCCGCGUGAGUGAUGAAGGUCUUCGGAUCGUAAAACUCUGUUACUAGGGAAGAACAUAUGUGUAAGUAACUGUGCACAUCUUGACGGUACCUAAUCAGAAAGCCACGGCUAACUACGUG
rnacentral:rRNA from 1 species